GACGAACGCUGGCGGCGUGCUUAACACAUGCAAGUCGAACGGAAAGGCCCUGCUUUUGUGGGGUGCUCGAGUGGCGAACGGGUGUGUAACACGUGUGUAACCUGCCCUUGACUUUGGGAUAUCUUCAGGAAACUGGGGCUAAUACCGGAUAUGAGCUCCUGCUGCAUGGUGGGGGUUGGAAAGUUUCGGCGGUUGGGGCUGGUCUCGCUGCUUAUCAGCUUGUUUGUGGUGUUGUGGCUUACCAAGGCUUUGACGGGUAGCCGGCCUGAGAGGGUGACCGGGCACAUGGGGACUGAGAGACGGACCAGACGGCAACGGGAGGCAGAAGGGGGGAAUAUUGCAGAAUGGGCGGAAGCCAGAGGCAGAAAAGCCGCGAGCGGGAUGACGGCCUUCGGGUCGUAAACAGCUUUCGACGGUGACGAAGCGUGAGUGACGGUAAUGGGUAAAGAAGCACCGGCUAACUACGUG
rnacentral:rRNA from 1 species